rnacentral:rRNA from 1 species
GAUGAACGCUGGCGGCGUGCCUAAUACAUGCAAGUCGAGCGAACGGACGAGAAGCUUGCUUUUCUGAUGUUAGCGGCGGACGGGUGAGUAACACGUGGAUAACCUACCUAUAAGACUGGGAUAACUUCGGGAAACCGGAGCUAAUACCGGAUAAUAUUUUGAACCACAUGGUUCAAAAGUGAAAGACGGUCUUGCUGUCACUUAUAGAUGGAUCCGCGCUGCAUUAGCUAGUUGGUAAGGUAACGGCUUACCAAGGUAACGAUGCAUAGCCGACCUGAGAGGGUGAUCGGCCACACUGGAACUGAGACACGGUCCAGACUCCUACGGGAGGCAGCAGUAGGGAAUCUUCCGCAAUGGGCGAAAGCCUGACGGAGCAACGCCGCGUGAGUGAUGAAGGUCUUCGGAUCGUAAAACUCUGUUAUUAGGGAAGAACAUAUGUGUAAGUAACUGUGCACAUCUUGACGGUACCUAAUCAGAAAGCCACGGCUAACUACGUG